AUUGAACGCUGGCGGCAGGCCUAACACAUGCAAGUCGAACGGUAACAGGAAACAGCUUGCUGUUUCGCUGACGAGUGGCGGACGGGUGAGUAAUGUCUGGGAAACUGCCUGAUGGAGGGGGAUAACUACUGGAAACGGUAGCUAAUACCGCAUAACGUCGCAAGACCAAAGAGGGGGACAUUCGGGCCUCUUGCCAUCGGAUGUGCACAGAUGGGAUUAGCUUGUUGGUGGGGUAACGGCUCACCAAGGCGACGAUCCCUAGCUGGUCUGAGAGGAUGACCAGCCACACUGGAACUGAGACACGGUCCAGACUCCUACGGGAGGCAGCAGUGGGGAAUAUUGCACAAUGGGCGCAAGCCUGAUGCAGCCAUGCCGCGUGUAUGAAGAAGGCCUUCGGGUUGUAAAGUACUUUCAGCGGGGAGGAAGGGAGUAAAGUUAAUACCUUUACUCAUUGACGUUACCCGCAGAAGAAGCACCGGCUAACUCCGUGCCAGCAGCCGCGGUAA
rnacentral:rRNA from 1 species